UCUCUUCCCAGUCACAGCUAACAUAAAAACAUUUCUACUGAUUAGUUGCACUUUUUUAUUUGUCCAAACACACAGCAGCCCAAGCCUGUGUUUGUGUGUGUACUCAAAUGUCUUCCAAAAGCCACUCCUACCACCCCUGCAAAAUAGUUGGAGGGUGACACAAGAGUGAUAAACAUCUGGCCAUGGGAAUGCUCUGGAGUGAAUGGAGUUGUGAAUGGGGACCAGUGGCACUGAAGUAGUGGUGAUUUCACUCCACAUGAGACUAAAAUAACCCAGGCUUUGAUGCCCCUGUGUCCCAAGGGACAGGCAGUGACCCUGAGCACCCAGCUCAGUAAAGUCCCUCGCUCGAGGAAGAGGCUUCAGUAGAUGCUUCAUCCAAACUUUUCUGCUGGCAUGAAUCAAGGCUGGAUUUGUGAUUUCAGUGUUCACACUGAAAUCUGUGCUAAGUGUUGACUCACAGAGGGAAGCAGAGGUUUGUGAUCUGUGGCAGGAAUCAGCUGUCUUGUUGGUCAAAGCUUCCAGCUUGAUGACGGGGUAUUUGUUGGAAGAUAUAAGAAAUUCUGCUGCUUGGGACUGAAAUAAUGUCACUUAAUUGCUAAGACACUGGGAAAGCCUCAGAGAUUGAGUCCAUACCAACUGCUGGUUCACAUGCUGGUGAAAUCUUGCUGUUAUCGGAGACCCCAAAAUCCUCGGCACAGGAGAAAGAGCUACAGAGAGAGAAUGGAGCAAGGCAGGCCCCAGAGCACUGGUUGUGCUGCCUGGUGUGUCCCAGAGGUGUGUGCUGUCUUGGAGCAGCACCUCAGCUACUUCUCCUGCCCUCUGAAGACUUGUGUGAAAAUGACCAAGAUCCAAAGGGCCCGGGCUGCUCCUGGAAGAGGAAAAGCCUGUUGGUGUUGCUUGAAUGAAGGGGCUGAGGACAGUGCCUGAGCGUCUGCAUUCGCAUCCUGGGAAAGCAGCUGGAGAUUGAUCCUGGUUUGGUCAGCCACUGAUGAGCUAAUUUUUAACACCAACCAUGAACAUCUCACCGCUGGAACUGUAGUGUGCCGGGUCCUGAGCAAGCUGUGAGAGAGCAAAUCACUCCAGCAGCGUGGAUCGUUCUUCUGCACCCAUUGUUAUGGAAAUCGCCUUAGAGACUGUUGCUCCAGCAAACAUUUUUAGAAGCACGAGUGAGUUGCGCAACAGGAAAAGUGCUCGGAGGUGACGCGUCUGGAGCCUGUCCCGAAACUGAUGUGGUUGCUGAUGCGACCGCAGAAUGGAGGUGAAACAUUUCUGUUCUGGUUUCACAGGACCACACACUGGCGGCUACACCUGCCUCCUCGCACCACCAAAAAGGAUCCCUGUAAGAUUUCUGGGCUGUUUUCAGCACAACAGGGACUUUAGACCCAGAUUUUUGUUCUCUGCACAAGCCGCUGCUGCUCCCCUUGUGAACUGAAGGUGCUUCGAUAAACAUUCUGAAAGGUCAGCUAUUUUCACUGUGUCUGUGGCUUGCAUAAGAACCUCAACAUCCUCUGCUGCAAAGAGCAGUGUUAGGAACUUCCUACUGCCACGCUGAAUCACAAUAGCUUCCCACAGCAACCAGUGGUAAAAAUAAACUGGGCAAGGGGAAGUGGACAGCUUCUGCUGUUCCGCUUUCUUGGGCACACUUGAGUCACAAAAAAAGCGAUGUAGAACAAGACAUUUAUUUUGCUGAUGCCAAUGAAAUCCAUGAAUGGUUCAGA